rnacentral:rRNA from 1 species
AUUGAACGCUGGCGGCAGGCCUAACACAUGCAAGUCGAACGAGUGGCGGACGGGUGUGAAAUGUCUGGGUAACUGCCCGAUGGGGGGGGAAAACUACGGAAAACGGUAGAUUACACCGUAUACCCUCGUAAGUGCCCAUAUGGGAUGCGCUAGUAGGUGGGGUAACGGUACACCUAGGCGACGAUCCCUAGCUGGUCUGAGAGGAUGACCAGCCACACUGGAACUGAGACACGGUCCAGACUCCUACGGGAGGCAGCAGUGGGGAAUAUUGCACAAUGGGCGCAAGCCUGAUGCAGCCAUGCCGCGUUUAUGAAGAAGGCCUUCGGGUUGUAAAGUACUUUCAGCGGGGAGGCGUUACUCACAGAAGAAGCACCGGCUAACUCCGUGCCAGCAGCCGCGGUAAUAC